rnacentral:rRNA from 1 species
CCUGUACUUGGUGUUACUGCGAAGGGGGGACGGAGAAGGCUAUGUUGGCCGGGCGACGGUUGUCCCGGUUUAAGCGUGUAGGCUGGUUUUCCAGGCAAAUCCGGAAAAUCAAGGCUGAGGCGUGAUGACGAGGUACUACGGUGCUGAAGCAACAAAUGCCCUGCUUCCAGGAAAAGCCUCUAAGCAUCAGGUAACAUCAAAUCGUACCCCAAACCGACACAGGUGGUCAGGUAGAGAAUACCAAGGCGCUUGAGAGAACUCGGGUGAAGGAACUAGGCAAAAUGGUGCCGUAACUUCGGGAGAAGGCACGCUGAUAUGUAGGUGAAGUCCCUCGCGGAUGGAGCUGAAAUCAGUCGAAGAUACCAGCUGGCUGCAACUGUUUAUUAAAAACACAGCACUGUGCAAACACGAAAGUGGACGUAUACGGUGUGACGCCUGCCCGGUGCCGGAAGGUUAAUUGAUGGGGUCAGCGCAAGCGAAGCUCUUGAUCGAAGCCCCGGUAAACGGCGGCCGUAACUAUAACGGUCCUAAGGUAGCGAAAUUCCUUGUCGGGUAAGUUCCGACCUGCACGAAUGGCGUAAUGAUGGCCAGGCUGUCUCCACCCGAGACUCAGUGAAAUUGAACUCGCUGUGAAGAUGCAGUGUACCCGCGGCAAGACGGAAAGACCCCGUGAACCUUUACUAUAGCUUGACACUGAACAUUGAGCCUUGAUGUGUAGGAUAGGUGGGAGGCUUUGAAGUGUGGACGCCAGUCUGCAUGGAGCCGACCUUGAAAUACCACCCUUUAAUGUUUGAUGUUCUAACGUUGACCCGUAAUCCGGGUUGCGGACAGUGUCUGGUGGGUAGUUUGACUGGGGCGGUCUCCUCCUAAAGAGUAACGGAGGAGCACGAAGGUUGGCUAAUCCUGGUCGGACAUCAGGAGGUUAGUGCAAUGGCAUAAGCCAGCUUGACUGCGAGCGUGACGGCGCGAGCAGGUGCGAAAGCAGGUCAUAGUGAUCCGGUGGUUCUGAAUGGAAGGGCCAUCGCUCAACGGAUAAAAGGUACUCCGGGGAUAACAGGCUGAUACCGCCCAAGAGUUCAUAUCGACGGCGGUGUUUGGCACCUCGAUGUCGGCUCAUCACAUCCUGGGGCUGAAGUAGGUCCCAAGGGUAUGGCUGUUCGCCAUUUAAAGUGGUACGCGAGCUGGGUUUAGAACGUCGUGAGACAGUUCGGUCCCUAUCUGCCGUGGGCGCUGGAGAACUGAGGGGGGCUGCUCCUAGUACGAGAGGACCGGAGUGGACGCAUCACUGGUGUUCGGGUUGUCAUGCCAAUGGCACUGCCCGGUAGCUAAAUGCGGAAGAGAUAAGUGCUGAAAGCAUCUAAGCACGAAACUUGCCCCGAGAUGAGUUCUCCCUGACUCCUUGAGAGUCCUGAAGGAACGUUGAAGACGACGACGUUGAUAGGCCGGGUGUGUAAGCGCAGCGAUGCGUUGAGCUAACCGGUACUAAUGAACCGUGAGGCUUAACCUUACAACGCCGAAGGUGUUU